rnacentral:tRNA from 2 species
GCCGCGGUAGCUCAGCCGGCAGAGCGCGUUCUUGGUAGGAACGAGGCCGCCGGUUCGACGCCGGCCCGCGGCU